GUUGCGCGCGCAGGGUAAAGGGCUCGCCGGCGCUGUGGCCGCUGGCGAGCCAGGCGUCGCCGUCGCGUUGCAGGUGUUCGACUCGACUGUGCAGCACCA
rnacentral:tRNA from 1 species